GUAUUGAUGUUAGCGGAACGCUCUGGAAAGUGCGGCCAUAGUGGGUGAUAGCCCUGUACGCGAAAAUCUCUUGUCAAUGAAAUCGAGUAGGACGGAGCACGAGAAACUUUGUCUGAAUAUGGGGGGACCAUCCUCCAAGGCUAAAUACUCCUGACUGACCGAUAGUGAACCAGUACCGUGAGGGAAAGGUGAAAAGCACCCCGACGAGGGGAGUGAAACAGACCCUGAAACCGGAUGCCUACAAACAGUUGGAGGGCUUCGUGCCUGACAGCGUACCUUUUGUAUAAUGGGUCAGCGACUU
rnacentral:rRNA from 1 species